rnacentral:rRNA from 1 species
GGGCAUCGGUCACUCCAACCCCUGUGACAUACCUUAUUGUUGCCUCGGCGGAUCAGCCCGCUCCCUGUAAAACGGGACGGCCCGCCAGAGGACCCAAACCCUACUGUUUUUUAGUGUAUCUUCUGAGUAACAAAAACAAAUAAAUCAAAACUUUCAACAACGGAUCUCUUGGUUCUGGCAUCGAUGAAGAACGCAGCAAAAUGCGAUAAGUAAUGUGAAUUGCAGAAUUCAGUGAAUCAUCGAAUCUUUGAACGCACAUUGCGCCCGCCAGUAUUCUGGCGGGCAUGCCUGUUCGAGCGUCAUUUCAACCCUCAAGCCCCUUCGGGUUUGGUGUUGGGGAUCGGCGAGUCUUCACGGACGAGCCGGCCCCGAAAUCUAGUGGCGGUCUCGCUGCAGCCUCCAUUGCGUAGUAGCUAACACCUCGCAACUGGAACGCGGCGCGGCCAAGCCGUUAAACCCCCAACUUCUGAAUGUUGACCUCGGAUCAGGUAGGAAUACCCGCUGAACUUAAGCAUAUCAAUAAGCGGAGGAAA